rnacentral:tRNA from 1 species
GGGGAUUUAGCUCAGCGGUAGAGCGCUUGCCUAGCAAGCGCGAGGCCCUGGGUUCGGUCCCCAGCUCCG